GAUGAAGAACGUAGCGAAAUGCGAUACGUAAUGUGAAUUGCAGAUUUCAGUGAAUCAUCGAAUCUUUGAACGCACAUUGCGCCCGCUAGUAUUCUGGCGGGCAUGCCUGUUCGAGCGCCAUUUCAACCAUCAAGCCCCCGGCUUGCGUUGGAGCCCUGCGGCUGCCGCAGGCUCCCAAAUCUAGUGGCGGGCUCGUCGUCGUACCGAGUGCAGUAAACAUCCUCGCUCAGGGAACGCGUCGGGUUCUUGCCGUGAAACCCCCCCAUAUCAAGGUUGACCUCGGAUCAGGUAGGAAUACCCGCUGAACUUAAGCAUAUCAAUAAGCGGAGGA
rnacentral:misc_RNA from 1 species